AGUCGAACGCACUCUCGUUUAGAUUGAAGGAGCUUGCUCCUGAUUGAUAAACAUUUGAGUGAGUGGCGGACGGGUGAGUAACACGUGGGUAACCUGCCCUAAAGUGGGGGAUAACAUUUGGAAACAGAUGCUAAUACCGCAUAAAACCUAACACCGCAUGGUGUAGGGUUGAAAGAUGGUUUCGGCUAUCACUUUAGGAUGGACCCGCGGUGCAUUAGUUAGUUGGUGAGGUAAAGGCUCACCAAGACCGUGAUGCAUAGCCGACCUGAGAGGGUAAUCGGCCACACUGGGACUGAGACACGGCCCAGACUCCUACGGGAGGCAGCAGUAGGGAAUCUUCCACAAUGGACGAAAGUCUGAUGGAGCAACGCCGCGUGAGUGAAGAAGGUUUUCGGAUCGUAAAACUCUGUUGUUGGAGAAGAAUGUAUCUGAUAGUAACUGAUCAGGUAGUGACGGUAUCCAACCAGAAAGCCACGGCUAACUACGUGCCAGCAGCCGCGGUAAUACGUAGGUGGCAAGCGUUGUCCGGAUUUAUUGGGCGUAAAGCGAGCGCAGGCGGUUUCUUAAGUCUGAUGUGAAAGCCUUCGGCUCAACCGAAGAAGUGCAUCGGAAACUGGGAAACUUGAGUGCAGAAGAGGACAGUGGAACUCCAUGUGUAGCGGUGAAAUGCGUAGAUAUAUGGAAGAACACCAGUGGCGAAGGCGGCUGUCUGGUUCUGUAACUGACGCUGAGGCU
rnacentral:rRNA from 1 species